rnacentral:lncRNA from 1 species
AUCCCAAUAUGACCUUUUUCCUAUUUCUUCCUAGAAAUCUAGAGAACUUUAUAUAUUCUUUAAAGUCAAAAACUUCCUCAAUAUGUGUUAUGGUGACAUUUUUUUCUCAUUUAUUUUGUCAACUAUAUGAUGUAUCAUUUUAAUGAUUGGAGUCUUCCUUGAGUUUUGGAAAGGUUUUUCUGACACAGCUUUAAAUAUUGCUUUUCCCUUUUUGCUCUGUUUUCUCCAUCAGUCAUCCCAGUCAUUCUUAUACUGGAAAUCUCUUCCAUCUCUGGAAUUUUCUCACUCAUUAUUUUAUCUCUUUUCCAUUAUCCUCUUCUUUCUGAGAAGAGAGUUUCUUCAGAAUGGCUUCAAACUUAUUACUUGAAUUCCCAGUAGUAUAAAUUCUGGUCUUUAUUGUUUCCAAGCUACAUUUAAUCCCAAGGGAAAUUUUAUUCCCUUCAAAAUAUUUCUUCUUUAUUUUUUUUGUUAAAGAUUUUAUUUAUUUAUUCAUGAGAGACAUAGAGGGAGAGAGGCAGAGACACAGGCAGAGGGAGAAGCAGGCUCCAUGCAGGGAGCCCCAUGUGGGACUCCCGGGACUCCAGGAUCAUGCCAUGAGCUAAAGACAGACACUCAACCAUUGAGCCACCCAGGUGUCCCUAUUUCUUCUUUAUUUAUCUCUGUCCAUCAUCAUGCUACCCUCCUGCUUUAUAUCUCAAUCUUUCAACAUAUCAUAUAAUUUUCCAUUUCUUCUUUCAUAGAGCAGUUUCAUGCAUUGUAUUGAGAAUACAAACACAACAGAUGCUUUAUAAAGUACACUUCUUUUUCAUAUUAGUACUCUUUCAAAGACUCUUCAGAGAAACAUAUCUAUCUUUAUGCUAUAUAACCUUGAAAAAAAUAAGUCUAAGAUACAUGACUGAAAUAUACAGUUGAUCCUUGAAUAACAUGUGGGUUAGGGACACCAACCCCUUAUGCAGUAAAAAAUCUACAUAUAACUUUGACUUGCCAAAAGCUUAACUACUAAUAGCCUAUUGUUACCUGGAAGGCUUACUGACAACAAACAGUUUAUUAACAUAUGUUUUGUCUGUAACAUUUAUUGUAUACUGUAUCUUGAAAUAACACCUAACUUUCUUUCUUUUCUUUUCUUUUUUCUUUUUUUGACUAUUUCUAGGCUACAUGGUUUAUCUGCAAAUAUUUUCAAAUUGUUGCAAAUCUACAAAAAAAAAAAAAAACUUACCAAUAUAUUUAUGUAUAUAAGUGAACCUGCACAGGUCAAAUUCUUGUUGUUCAAAGGUCAACGGAAUGUUGUUCUUCAUUCCAUUUCCAUGUAUUCAUCAAGAAUCAAGCUCUUUCCUCGCCCACGGCAGGAGCAGCACUACAGUAAUAUCCUGGCUGGAAGACUCAUCCUCAGACUGAAUGAAGACCCCCGAGAUCCAAAUCUGGGGGGAUGCUGCUGAGCAAGGUUGAGAAGGGUGAGUGCAGAGAGCCGCCCAAUGGAUUAGAUAACCUGAAGGCAGGGGUGGGGUUAGUUGAAGGAUGAUGUAAAAAGAGGUGGAAGGAAAAAAACUGGGUGCAUACAACUGUUUUAAUCAAAUUUCCUGUGAAAGCCAGAAUGAUGCUGGCAAUCAAGUAGACGUGGAGGGUGAGGCACAGAAGAGCUUUUUGUGAGACUGUGUUUGUGUGUUUGUUUGAAGUGGAAGGGGCCCAUCUAGCUACAUUUCAAAGGGAUUCUUGAUGGCAAUCACUGAGCUAUUUUCUGCCCUCCAGAUUUCACCUUUACCAAAAUGUCAUAUAAAUGGGACCAGACAGUGUGCCCUGUUCCGAGUCUGCCUUCCUGCACUGGGCAAAAUGCAUUUCAGAUUCAUCCAUGUUGUGUGAAUCAAUAGUUCAAUCCCUUUUAAUUGUCAAGGGGUAGCCCAUCAUAUGGCCGUGCCAUGGUUUCUUUAUCCAUUCACCACCUAAAGAGCCAUUGAAUCAUUUCUCCGUCUUCACAGUUAUGAAGAGAGCUGCAGUAAGCACUCACAUGCAGAUUUUGUGUGUACAGAAGCUUUCCUUUGUCUUGGAUAAAAUACCCAGGGGUGGGAUAAGCGUGUCCUUUGAUAAUUGUCUGUUUCAUUUUAUAAUAAACUGCCAACCUGUUUUCUAAGUGAGCUGUGCCAUUUUGCUGAAUGUAAUUUUUUUAAAAAAAUCAGUGAAUUGAGGGGCAUCUGGGUGGCUCAGUGGUUGAGCAUCUGCCUUUGGCUCAGUUUGUGAUCCCGGGGCCCCGCAUCAGGUUACCUGUGGGGAAACUGCUUCUCCCUCUGCCUAUGUCUCUACCUCUCUCCGGGUCUCUCAUGAAUAAAUAAACAAAAUCUUUAAAAAAAAAAAAUCAGUGAGUUGAAAUUUAAAUUUAGCAAAAAAACAAAGGCAAGGAUCUAGCAAAGACAGAGAGAGAGAGAGAGAGAGAGAGAGAGAGAGUGUGUGUGUGUGUGUGUGCAGAGGUACAGAGUGGAGUUGGGGACAGGUGAAUCACAAAGUUUCCAGAAUGAAGAAGGGGAUGGGAUGCAAAGAACGGGCGCAGGAGCUGCUCUCACAGGAGGAACGCCACCUUUCUUGCACAGAGAGGAGAGAAGGUGGGAAGGUUGGUGCAGGUGUUAGCUUGUGAGCAGAGUUGAGAGGAAGUUUCCAUCUUUGAAGCAGAAAUGAGUGAAAGGGGAAAGGAGUUAGAAGUCUGAGAAGAGUGGAGAAGAUUUAAAGCUGUCUUUGUAGAGUGUGGAGAAGCAAGCUGUGGGGAGAAAUGUAGUAAGGCAUCUGGGCAGACCUGGGCUGGUCUGCAGGGGCGCCCAUCUGCUUCCUUGGAGCAAACAAGUUUACGAUAUCAGCCAGGGAGUGACUGAAGUGUUGGAUAAGUAAUCCCAGGCUGGACACCGGGGGAAGUGAAUUCAGGAGGCGAAGGUAGAUGGAAAGCAAGGAAAAGAGUUGUUCUCAUUGUCAAGCUAUUGUCUCAGCUCUGAAGUCACCUGAAGCUGGGAUUGGUACUCUGCAAAUGACAUUUCUGCAUGGCCAGCUGGCUUCCCACUCCGCUCUGCUUGGGGGGGUGGGGGGUGGGCAGGGGGACAAGUGAGGGGAGGGAAAGAGGGGGAAGGAGAGGAAGAGAGAAAUAAAAAUAGAGAUAGGGAGAGAGAGAAAGAAGGGACUAGCACAUGAUGGCUCGGCUGGAGGUGGGAGAAGGGACUUGCUAUUCCUGUUUGCCUAUUGUUCCUGCGACCCUGGCAGCUGAACCAGGCCUGCAGCUUCCCCAACACUCUCAAAGACAGCAGCACCAGCCAAGUGCCCUCCUCUGAGAUCUGGGAACCAGCACCACCGGUCCCAUCCCCCAAGCUCUAAAUCAUGAGGAAUCUAACUCCCUGCAUUUAUUCUGCUGGCUGCUCCCCGCAGCUCUACCUUAAAGGUAGAGCAAGUUUUCCCUUUUCAGUGCUUGAAUACUGUUUAACACUUUUUACAAUUCACUUCUUUCUGUUCUAAUAACUUGUGUGCUUACUUUCUCUUGAAUGGGCCCUGGGGGACACAGGAGACAUUGAGCUAGGAAUGCCUAAGAAGUGAAAGAACAGGGGUGCCUGGGUGGCUCUGUUGGUUAAGCAUCUACCUUUGGCUCAGGUCAUGAUCUCAAGGUCCUGGGAUGGAGCCCCAAAGCAGGCUCCCUGCUCAGUGGGGAGUCUGCUUCUCCCUCCCCCCCUGCCCUUUUUCCUGCUUGUAUGCUCUCUCUGUCUCUCUCUCUGUCUCUCUGUGUGUGUCAGAUAAAUAAAAAAAUAAAAACUAAAAAAAAAGUGAAAGAACAGUAGUGAUGGAAGUAUUCAAGGAAGUAAGUUAGAAGGACGGAGGUUUGAAUGCUUGAGUUGGUAAUUUAGAAGGGAAAAGUUUGGGAAUGAUGAUGAGGCCAAGCAUGCUUUGGCCAAGGUGAGUGGAGGGCUCAGAUGGAGUGCAGGAUUAGUUUUUUUAGAGAAUAAAUCAUUAACCUGACAUGACCUCUCAUGGCCACUGACACCAGCCCAGAUGAUGGCAAGGGCUAGGACAGAAUGGGGAAAUGUGUGCCAAGAAUUCAAUAAAUAGGGGAUCCCUGGGGGGCUCAGCGGUUUGGCACCUGCCUUUGGCCCAGGGCGCGAUGCUGGAGUCCCAGGAUCGAGUCCCACGUCGGGCUCCCUGCAUGGAGCCUGCCUCUCCCUCCUCCUGUGUCUCUGCCUCUCUCCCUCUGUCUCUCUCUCAGUGUCUAUCAUGAAUAAAUAAACAAAUAAAUCUUAAAAAAAAAAGAAUUCAAUAAAUAGAAGGUAGACCAAAGGUACAAACUUCCAGUUAGAAGAUAUAUAAGUACAGGGGACGCAAUGUGCACUGUGAUGACUACAGUUCCCACAACUGUAGGUGUACUGGAAUGUGGUUAAAAGCAUUCUCAUCAUAAGGAAAGAAAAUAUUUUUUCUCCCUUUUCUGUUUUUGUAUCUAGAUGAGGUGAUGAAUGUUGAGCAAACUCUCAUUGUGCUAAUCAUUUCACAAUAUACGUAAACAAGCCAUUACAAUGUACACUUUAAAUUUACACAGUGCUGUAUAUCAAUUAUCUCUCACUAAAAGAGUGUGUGUGUUGGGGGGGGGGGGAUUCAAUAAAUAGACAAAUCCAGAACGUCGUUAGAUGAAAGGGAUAUAGAAGGAAUAAAUAAAGUGCCAGAAUUGAAUGACCUAAGCUUCAAAAGAAUAGUUGCAUUUUUAUAAAUUUUUACUGAGAGGUCUGCAAAGAUUUAAACAAAUGAAAAACACACAUCUAAACCCUGACUAGAAAGACUCAGAUACUUCCAAUUAUCUCCGAUUUUAAUCCCAUUAACCUUAAAAAUAAAAUUUGCCACUAUUUUACUAGCAAAAAAAACUGGGUUUGAUUGAGAAUUGCAACCCAAAACCACCACGCUGACACAAAAACCAUUGGCAAGUCUGGAAAACAAAGCAGAGGAAUGCGUUUUUAUAGGGGAAAGCCAGAGGGGAUGUUGUAAACUAAAAGUCCAUUGGAGGAAACUGGAAAUUCAGAGUGUAGUGGCUUCUCGUUGGCUGAGCUGUGACUGUCUCUCAUUGGUUGGGCUCUUGCCAGUGGAGGAAGAACCUCCAGCUGGAUGGUAAAGUGUCCACUGCGUGGUCCAAAGGGCCUCCCCUUCUUGUGGGGUCUGCAACUGACUGGUGCUGGGCAUGCAAGCUUCCCAUGCUUGCCUCC